GAUGAGAAACGAUCCUACCUUUUUUUUUUUUUUUUAAUGUUUAUUUAUUUUUUGCGAGAGACUGUGCGAGUUGGGGAGGGGCAGAGAGGGGCUAGAGGAUCUGAAGCAGACAGCCUCUGCUCCGGCUCACGAACCCUGAGAUCAUGACCUGAGCCAGAGUCGGACACUUACCCAGCUGAGCCAGCCAGGCACUCCUGAUGAUCAACUGUUCUGUCGUUAGAUGGUGACCUGGUGAAUGACAUCUGAUGUUCAUUGUCUCCAAUCACGUGCUGAGGGUGGCCAGUGAGAAGCUCUGUCACCUGGAUAGGGACUUCAGCAGGCAGCUGCCCAGGACACCUAUGCGAACAUGGAUGAGGGGGCCGCUAUUGGGAAAGCUUUCUUCCAGAGUUUCAUGUUUAUCAUUGAAUUUGCCCAGAGAGCUGAACAAAGGACAUUGUUUUCUGCGUGUGCCGUGAUGUGAACAACGUCGAGCGAGCACAGAGCCGCAGCCUCGCUCAGGGAGAGGUCCGAAUUUCAGUGGGUGUCAAGACGAAGGAGCUGUGAUCGUUAGUGAGGUGCCCCAGUAGUGUCAGAGGCCAGUGUUACUCAGAAAUUUGAGAAUUGGCGGUGUAACUUCUCAGUGGGACCCUAGGGCUGACUGAAAUAUACAACAGUGAUAUUAAAAUGUUACUAAAGGUC